GAUUAGGGCUUACAGAAUCGGGAAAAUGGGGGCGAUUUCGCUGUACAGAGGGAACCUCCACAGAGUUCCCGACGUGCCUCGAGAAUGGCGUAUGCCAACCCCUAAAAUCUCCCUCGGAGUGUUCAAAUCCCUUCUUCAGCGUCGCUCCAAAGCCCUCUCUCGCCUCUGUUCCUCCACUACCACCGCUAACCCUAACCCCAAUCCCAUCUCCGAACAGAAGCAACAGAGUGAAUGCCUGAAAGAGAAUGAGUCUUCUAUUGAGCCUAAACUGGAAGCGAAAAAUCCCGGUUAUUGUGGAGAAGGGCCUUCUGGUGAGGAAAAAGACCAGAAAGAUCAGAAAGAAUCGUACGGCGGCGGCGAUUUCCCUGUGAAAGUUGAUGCAGCUGAUUCGUUGCCUGAGAAAGGCUCCGGUGCGGUUGCUGGUGGUGCCAAUGAGAAAGCCUUGCCCGUCCAAACGAAACCGGCUGACCUGGCAACCCCAAAUUUGGAGGUAACCAACAAAGUAGAUUUGUUAAAUGGCAGAGAAAAGAGGAAACGGGAAGUUGAGGAUAAGUUACAAAGUCUGAAUGCAAAGAAACAUAAUCUCGUACAAGCGCUGAAGCAGAUCUUGAGUGCAGAGGAGGAAUUAAAGAGGCGAAAUAGCAUGCAAGGAAUGACAACUCGCCCAUCUGUUCCACUUCAAGUGGAUGCUGCAAAUGACACUGGGUCAUUGACUAGGCAGCCCACUCCUAGGACGGGCUCGGAGACCAAUCUUGGUGGAGAUAUGGAAGGGGGAGAAGCUGAUGACCCUUUAAACCAUAGCACUAAUCCUCGCCAUACGUUUCGGAUGAGUAGUAUGUCACCAUCUUCAGAGUCUCCUCUCAGAAGGCCUGCCUCUAAUCAACUCAACAUGGUUUCACACCCCUCGCGACCUAGUUUUGGGGUAACGGGUAGUCCAUCACGCUUUGCUCCCACAGGGCACCCUGCAAUCCUGCCCACAUUAUCUGUAUCAGGAACAAAUUACAUGGCAUCCUCUCCUUCUCCUGCAGCUUCUGGUGGUACCUCCGCUUUUAGAGAUGCUCGGCUGCCAAGUCCAUGGAAUUAGAAGGCAUCCCAUCAACAUACUUCAUGUGACGUCAAGCUCUGUUUUCAGCUCCCACCGAGGUACAAAAUCUUCUGAUCGAGCUGUGCUACCACGUUGAGUUCUGAUCGGUCAAGCACCUCUUUGUUUUGAUUGCCAAGAGCCCCUGCUACAGCCUCUCUUCAGGAAAAUGGAACUCCAGGGUUUAUUGCUAUGGUUCAACAUGUACAAAAGAAAGAUUUUAAAGAGUUGAACAAACGAGGCUGAGUUGCACUAAACUGAAAUGGCGGCCAAACUCUGGAGGACCCACGGCAUUGAAGUACCUAAUAAGAAAAUAAUAUAUCAAAAGUGUCGUGUGAUUUCUGUUGAAUACAUGGUUAUGACCAAUCGAUCCCGAGUCUUUGGCACGUUGGAGAUUGCCCAACAUAACCAAGGGUCAUGAGAUGCAAGAGCAACGGUAGAUACAAUUUUAAGACGUGUAAAUUUUGUUUUUGUUUUUGUUUUAGUUUUUUUU